rnacentral:rRNA from 1 species
UGAAUACGAGACGCUAAGGCGUCGAAGUAGUGUAUGUCAUACUUCCAAGAAAAGCUUGCACUGUCAUAGAUAAAAAACGCCUGUACCAUAACCGACACAGGUGGGUAGGUAGAGUAUACUAAGGGGCGCGAGAUAACUCUCUCUAAGGAACUCGGCAAAAUAACUCCGUAACUUCGGGAGAAGGAGUGCCUUAUUCGUAAGGUUGCAAUAACAAGAUCCAAGCAACUGUUUAUCAAAAACACAGGUCUCCGCUAAGUCGUAAGACGAUGUAUGGGGGCUGACGCCUGCCCAGUGCCAGAAGGUUAAAGAAGUUGGUUAGCAAUUGCGAAGCUGAUAACUGAAGCCCUGGUGAACGGCGGCCGUAACAAUAACGGUCCUAAGGUAGCGAAAUUCCUUGUCGGGUAAGUUCCGACCCGCACGAAAGGCGUAAUGAUUUGGAUACUGUCUCGGAGAGGGGCUCGGUGAAAUAGACUUGUCUGUGAAGAUGCGGACUACCUGCACCAGGACAGAAAGACCCUAUGAAGCUUUACUUAACUUGAAAUUGAAAUUGGACUUUAUUCGCGCAGUAUAGGUGGGAGGCGUUGAUUAUAAUCUUGUGGGAUUAUUGGAGCCAUCAGUGAGAUACCACUCUUGUAAUGUUAGAUUUCUAACUUUGAAUCAUUAUCUGGUCAAAGAACAGUUUCAGGCGGGCAGUUUGACUGGGGCGGUCGCCUCCUAAACGGUAACGGAGGCGUACAAAGGUUUCCUCUGAACGGUUAGAAAUCGUAUCUAGAGUGUAAAGGCAUAAGGAAGCUUGACUGUGAGACCUACAAGUCGAGCAGGGACGAAAGUCGGUCUUAGUGAUCUGACGGUACUGAGUGGAAAGGCCGUCACUCAACGGAUAAAAGUUACUCUAGGAUAACAGGCUGAUCUCCCCCAAGAGUUCACAUCGACGGGGAGGUUUGGCACCUCGAUGUCGGCUCAUCGCAUCCUGGGGCGGUAGUACGUCCCAAGGGUUGGGCUGUUCGCCCAUGAAAGCGGUACGCGAGCUGGGUUCAGAACGUCGUGAGACAGUUCGGUCCAUAUCCGGUGUAGGCGUUAGAAUAUUGAGAGGAGCCUUCUUUAGUACGAGAGGACCGAGAAGGACAUACCUCUGGUGUACCAGUUAUCGUGCCAACGGUAAACGCUGGGUAGCUAUGUAUGGAGUGGAUAACCGCUGAAAGCAUCUAAGUGGGAAGCCCACCUCAAGAUAAG